rnacentral:rRNA from 1 species
GACGAACGCUGGCGGCGUGCCUAAUACAUGCAAGUAGAACGCUGAAGGAGGAGCUUGCUUCUCUGGAUGAGUUGCGAACGGGUGAGUAACGCGUAGGUAACCUGCCUGGUAGCGGGGGAUAACUAUUGGAAACGAUAGCUAAUACCGCAUAAGAGUGGAUGUUGCAUGACAUUUGCUUAAAAGGUGCACUUGCAUCACUACCAGAUGGACCUGCGUUGUAUUAGCUAGUUGGUGGGGUAACGGCUCACCAAGGCGACGAUACAUAGCCGACCUGAGAGGGUGAUCGGCCACACUGGGACUGAGACACGGCCCAGACUCCUACGGGAGGCAGCAGUAGGGAAUCUUCGGCAAUGGACGGAAGUCUGACCGAGCAACGCCGCGUGAGUGAAGAAGGUUUUCGGAUCGCAAAGCUCUGUUGUAAGAGAAGAACGAGUGUGAGAGUGGAAAGUUCACACUGUGACGGUAUCUUACCAGAAAGGGACGGCUAACUACGUGCCAGCAGCCGCGGUAAUACGUAGGUCCCGAGCGUUGUCCGGAUUUAUUGGGCGUAAAGCGAGCGCAGGCGGUUAGAUAAGUCUGAAGUUAAAGGCUGUGGCUUAACCAUAGUAGGCUUUGGAAACUGUUUAACUUGAGUGCAAGAGGGGAGAGUGGAAUUCCAUGUGUAGCGGUGAAAUGCGUAGAUAUAUGGAGGAACACCGGUGGCGAAAGCGGCUCUCUGGCUUGUAACUGACGCUGAGGCUCGAAAGCGUGGGGAGCAAACAGG